GAAUUGGUUGAUGUAGUGUCUAACUAUUAUCUACCUAAAAUCAGUAAAAUCAAGAUCAAGUUUGAAUACUGCCAUCAAGUUGAUCUUGAAGGGUUUCCCUGGGAUCAAGGAUCAGGAGAGAGUUCCCAUGGCAGAUCCCUCAUGUGCUACCUGCUACAAGCUGCUACGAGGAUGAACUGGCAGCUGGUUGCUAGCGCUGAUGUGUCAGCUAAGGUUGUUUACAAGGACGACGAGAAAAACAAGUCGGCCGAUGUUCACAGCUGGUUUCUUGUGUACUGGCCGGCCGGCAAAUCACAAUUAUAAACAAACAAAAAGUUUUAAUUAUCAUUUUGUUCUUAUAACGAGAUAUUUGCUAAUCUUGUGCAGUUGUGCACUGCCAUACCAUAGACAGGGUUCCUAAAACAAAGGAUGCGACUUCAAAACGGCCGAACACUUAUAUAUAGCGCUAUGGAGGUAGAAUUUUAGGUUGCUGCCAUGGAUACAGUCUUUUAAGGACUAUAAAUAGUUUGGCAAAAAAAUCAAGUUUACAGCUACAUGAAACCAUUAUAAACCUAAGAAAAAAUCCUUACAAUCGUCUCUGAAGUCUCAUCCCUUAAGGGUAACCUUGUACUAGGGUUUCCAGUCGGAAUUUCGUUGCGCGGAGUUUACACGGCUCGCAAGUAAAAUCCCUUGCGUUGGAAACCCUACCUUGUCGCAUACACCGAGCUUGAACUGCACUAUUUGUACACCAAGAGAAGCAAAAUCCUUGUUAUAUUGUUUUUCUUUGUUCUUAAACUACAAAAUGUAUUAAGAUAUAUGUUUUAACCUGCAUGUCUCUCUCCUCGUGUUGACCUUUUCAUCGCUUAAACCUGUAAAGCUGAUAUUUAUGAAAACAUUUCUUUUCAACUAUUGGCACAUCAGAGUGCUUAUGACGGGUUCAAAAUCCACGUGUAAAAACGUGUUUUGGAUAUUUGACAAAUUAUUGUCUUUAACAUUAGUGAACUAUCUCACAAUCAAACUUUCUUCCUAAAUUUUAUUAAUUUUUGUAUUUGUAAAUUAUUUUCAGAAAAUUUAUAUCAAAAGAUGAUUGCGCUUGUUUAAUUCAAUUUUUUAAUGUAUUACAUCAUAUUAUGAUGUGCCCCAAGCUUUCGUGCCAUGAAUGUACAAACUGUCUGCUAUAAAUUUUCUCUUAAAGCUGUCUGUGCUUGGAAACUUGUAAAUCAAAAGUAUUCUGAGGGUCUACAAAGAAAAGAAUCAAAACUUCGCAAGUGUAUACAAAGCAUAGCUGUAAGCCUAUUAUUUAUGUGAUUAACCUAAUUAUGGAAUGAGGGUUGCAAAAUAAAUUUGUUCCAAUCCUA
rnacentral:misc_RNA from 1 species